GUUUAAACACCGAUUCCCGUGCGAUAGCUGAAGUCAAGCAACGUCUAGCCUGGCCAGUACCUAGAUGGAUGAGUACUUGGGAAUACCUGGUGCCGUAAG